UACGUAGGGGGCAAGCGUUGUCCGGAUUUAUUGGGCGUAAAGAGCGUGUAGGCGGCUUUGCAAGUCCGUUGUGAAACUCGAGCUCAACCUCGAGACGCCGGUGGAAACUGCAAAGCUAGAGUCCGGAAGAGGAGAGUGGAAUUCCUGGUGUAGCGGUGAAAUGCGCAGAUAUCAGGAAGAACACCCGUGGCGAAAGCGGCGCACUGGACCACAACUGACGCUGGAGGCGCGAAAGCUAGGGGAGCAAACAGG
rnacentral:rRNA from 1 species